CCUACGGGGGGCAGCAGUGGGGAAUAUUGGACAAUGGGCGAAAGCCUGAUCCAGCCAUGCCGCGUGUGUGAAGAAGGUCUUCGGAUUGUAAAGCACUUUAAGUUGGGAGGAAGGGUUGUAGAUUAAUACUCUGCAAUUUUGACGUUACCAAAAGAAUAAGCACCGGCUAACUUCGUGCCAGCAGCCGCGGUAAUACGAAGGGUGCAAGCGUUAAUCGGAAUUACUGGGCGUAAAGCGCGCGUAGGUGGUUCGUUAAGUUGGAUGUGAAAGCCCCGGGCUC
rnacentral:rRNA from 1 species